UCAGACAGAGGACUUCAUCAAAUAAAAACACCAUAUAAACAUAUAUAACUAGGUAAAUAUCAGAAACUUCAGAUUAAAUGUAUUUAUCAUCAACAACUAGUACCGUCUCUAAGUUAACAGUUUUAGCACUUCCUCCUCCUGGUUGGGGGCGGAGUCUGCCUCAGGUGGAGGAGUCUUGACGUUAGGAUAUAGCGAGAGAUAAAUAAAUCUUCCUCAGUAAAAAGGAUUUGGUCUCGGCUGUCUGAGCUAAAUCAAUUUAUCCAAAUCAUUCAAGGAGCUUUCAACAGAUCUCAGCUGUGAGGAAACUGAUUGUAGCACCAAGGCUUUUGACUGCCACUCAGGAGUCGGCCCGUGGCCCAGACACAUGAAACUCGAAGGAAAAGUACUGAAGAAUGUACCGGACCAUACAGCAGGGUGACYCUGAAGAGACAGCAUGACAGCAGAGGCUAAAGGUGAACCUCUCCUUGGCUGGAAGUCUCUGAUCCGACAUGAAAACAUGAAGAAGACACAGGCGGGGAUGAGACACGUCUUUAAUUACAGCUCUGCAGACGAGGCGAGGAACGGAAAAAGUCCAUCAGCUUCAGAACAUCUGUUGUCUUCAGCCUCCUGUGUUUAAAGACGAUGACCCAGACACGAGGAGAGCAGAGGACACAGGUGGGACCAGGUAAACACAGGUGGGACCAGGUAAACAAGUCAAUAAAAGUAGGCGGCUCCUCCCACUUAGAGACAGGAAGUAGCGUACCAACACACCGCAGAGAUCCAGACCUCUACCUCCUCCAGAUCUUCAGGGAGGACUACYCGGUGUCCCAGACCAGCAUGUCCCCUGGGGUCUCCUCCCAGUGGGACAUGUCCAGAACUUUACCAGAUGAACKWAUCCUCUUCACAAAGUUCAYUUAAAAACUUAAUAUUUCAGUCWYUCAGUUUUACUGUUCUGUAUUUCUGAGGUUCUUCUCCGUCUUGUGAAAGAAGGUUUCAGGUCUGGCUGAGUAAUCUCCUAAUGAGUGUGGCUCGUGAGCAGACGGAUGGUUAACGUUGGUGAACACAGUGUUCAGAGAGGAGGAAACAUCUAAAACACAGAGGAUCGCGGCCCCCCAGGACCAGGAUUGGACACCCCUGAUAUUGCAGACCUGUGAGACUCUGAGUUGCUUCUUCCUAAAACCUGGUGAGAACUCAACAAAUUAAAKCCAACAGAUCCAACCAGAACCAACCAGGAAACUCAAAUGUUUGAGAGUUUUUCUAAAGUCCAUUAGUCUGAAUAAAGACAGGUUAAACUCAUGUUUAUAUUUUAUUUCAUGUUUCUGUCAGGUCUGAUGGUGAGAACCUCGUUUCUGAACGCUCCUUCGUUAGUCCUCCCCUCCCACACMCAUGAUUUCGUGAGAAGAGUCAUCAGGGCAGAGCUGCAACAAUAAGUCCUCUGCAGCUCAUCUUACUGCCUGUUCUCUUCUGCACACAGAGCCUUCAGUCAGCUUUCAUUAAGCACACAGAGGAUGCUGCUAACAGGAAAAAAAUUAAUAUAAAUGCAUGAUUUAAACGAGCAGAAAUGACACGUAGGAGCUUUUACACUUGUGUUUGAGAAGSGUAACGAUUGUGCAGCUGCAGCCUGGUCUGUCCUGUUUGGGUUGUUUUAUUCAGCCUGAAACACAAAGUCAGGUUGUGAAGAAGAAUGUAAACUACAGACAGAGUUCGUGCCAAGAAAGAAAGCCUGAGAAAGAAGGCAAACUUUCAUGAAUGGAGAGAGUCGUUCUCACACAUCAUUCAUAAACUUCCUGCUGAGUCUGAGCUCUGCACCAAAGCUGCGUUUGACUUUCCUCAGUCCAAAACUCUGCGUGUUUCUCUUAUCCCAGCCUGUGGGACACGUCACGGCCCUGAUGAGACACAUACUGUAGAAUAGAAUAGAAACAGCCUUUAUUGUCCCGUGGCAGGGAAAUUUAGGUGCAACAGCAGCAGAUG